CCAUCACUGCUGAAUAAGAGAGCCGCCAAAUGGACUCCUCCUCCCUGCAAUGUGUGGACUUUGAUAUUUCUUAAUAUGGACUUAAACAGAAGACUUCAACUGUUCAUAGGUUGUUGAGAACGCUCCUCCUUUGGUUUGUUAGGUAUUAAAGGUUAUCUAAGCUGAAGACACUUUGGGGCAACUUCUCAGAAAUCACACCUCGCUUCAACAACUUAAAAGUCUCAAGACUUCCUUUUUCUUUUGGUUCCUGCUCAGCAAGAAAGCUGUUAAAUUUACUCUCAACUUCAUUCUCUAAAGGGAGCGCCACAGUCAGAGGACCAGUUUACCACUUAGUAGUCCAGCAAAGAAAAAUAAAAGCGCAACAAUGAGCAUCCUUCCUGUUUGCCUGCUUGUUGGUUUGCUGCUGCUCCAGGGCACUGCGCCCCAGCAAAAUGACGAGGUUAAACGGCUCUAUGAGCAGUUUCUUAAUCAGCACGUAAUUGGAGCCCUGGAUGAAAACGACUGCUCAAAACUGAUAGAAGAAAGAAAAAUAAAAGAUAAGAACGGUUUUAAGGAGACCAACACAUUCAUCAUUGCCAGUAAAGAAGCUGUCACAGCCAUUUGUCAGGGUAGAAAAUCUGGUGAAAAUAUAGAAAGUAAAGGAAAAUUCAACGUAGUUGUGUGUACGCACGUGGAUAAGGGGAAGUACAAGGGAGAGAGACUGGGUUACCAUUAUAUUGCAGUAGGCUGUAAAGAUUAUUUCCCCGUGCAUUUUGGCACUCAGCGAAAAAAACCAUUGCACUCUAAAGGAUAAUCUCACAUCCUCCGCUCAAAAAUCAGAAGGCAGAUGUAAUCUUUAAAUCUUCAUUAUAUACUACACUGCUGUAUUGGUGAGGGAACAUAGUAAUCUGAGCAUCAAACUAUUUUGUUUUUUUUUUUUCUCUAGUUUUAUUCAUUUUGCUUUAUUUUCUAGCAUGGCACACGUUCCUGCUUCAUUGCAUUCAAAGAAUGAUUCAGGAAGUGAACAAUUAUAGCUUGUGAACACAUAUCAUUCAACAAAUAAAGGAAAUAAGACUCAACUUGUA